GAACGCACAUUGCGCCCCCUGGUAUUCCGGGGGGCAUGCCUGUUCGAGCGUCAUUUCACCACUCAAGCCUCGCUUGGUAUUGGGCGUCGCGGGUCCCCCGCGCGCCUCAAAGUCUCCGGCUGAGCGGUUCGUCUCCCAGCGUUGUGGCAACUAUUUCGCAGUGGAGUUCGAGUCGUCGCGGCCGUUAAAUCUUUCAAAGGUUGACCUCAAAUCAGGUAGGACUACCCGCUGAACUUAAG
rnacentral:misc_RNA from 1 species